UACGUAGGGAGCAAGCGUUGUCCGGAUUUAUUGGGCGUAAAGAGCUCGUAGGCGGCUUAGAAAGUCGGGUGUGAAACCUCCAGGCUCAACCUGGAGACGCCACUCGAUACUUCUAUGGCUUGAGUUCGGUAGGGGACCAUGGAAUUCCUGGUGUAGCGGUGAAAUGCGCAGAUAUCAGGAGGAACACCGGUGGCGAAGGCGGCCCUCUGGACGGUGACUGACGCUGAGACGACGAAAGCGUGGGGAGCAAACAGG
rnacentral:rRNA from 1 species